UACGAAGGGGGCUAGCGUUGUUCGGAAUUACUGGGCGUAAAGCGCACGUAGGCGGAUUGUUAAGUUAGGGGUGAAAUCCCGGGGCUCAACCCCGGAACUGCCUUUAAUACUGGCAAUCUCGAGUCCGAGAGAGGUGAGUGGAAUUCCGAGUGUAGAGGUGAAAUUCGUAGAUAUUCGGAGGAACACCAGUGGCGAAGGCGGCUCACUGGCUCGGUACUGACGCUGAGGUGGCGAAAGCGUGGGAGCAACAGG
rnacentral:rRNA from 1 species